rnacentral:rRNA from 1 species
AGUGGCGCACGGGUGCGUAACGCGUGGGAAUCUGCCCUUAGGUACGGAAUAACUCAGAGAAAUUUGUGCUAAUACCGUAUGAUGUCGAAAGACCAAAGAUUUAUCGCCUAAGGAUGAGCCCGCGUAAGAUUAGCUUGUUGGUGAGGUAAAAGCUCACCAAGGCGACGAUCUUUAGCUGGUCUGAGAGGAUGAUCAGCCACACUGGGACUGAGACACUGCCCAGACUCCUACGGGAGGCAGCAGUGGGGAAUAUUGGACAAUGGGCGAAAGCCUGAUCCAGCAAUGCCGCGUGAGUGAUGAAGGCCUUAGGGUUGUAAAGCUCUUUUACCAGGGAUGAUAAUGACAGUACCUGGAGAAUAAGCUCCGGCUAACUCCGUGCCAGCAGCCGCGGUAAUACGGAGGGAGCUAGCGUUGUUCGGAAUUACUGGGCGUAAAGAGUACGUAGGCGGUGAUUCAAGUCAGAGGUGAAAGCCUGGAGCUCAACUCCAGAACUGCCUUUGAAACUAGAUCGCUAGAAUUAUGGAGAGGUUAGUGGAAUUCCGAGUGUAGAGGUGAAAUUCGUAGAUAUUCGGAAGAACACCAGUGGCGAAGGCGACUAACUGGACAUAUAUUGACGCUGAGGUACGAAAGCGUGGGGAGCAAACAGGAUUAGAUACCCUGGUAGUCCACGCCGUAAACGAUGAUAACUAGCUGUUCGGGC